rnacentral:rRNA from 1 species
GUGUCAGCAGCCGCGGUAAAACGUAGGUGGCGAGCGUUAUCCGGAUUUACUGGGCGUAAAGCGCGUUCAGGCGGCUUAGCAAGUCGGGCAUGAAAUCUCCUGGCUCAACCAGGAGGGGCUGUCCGAUACUGUUAGGCUUGAGGGUAGUAGAGGAGGGUGGAAUUCCGCAUGUAGUGGUGAAAUGCGUAGAUAUGCGGAGGAACACCAGUGGCGAAAGCGGCCCUCUGGGCUACUCCUGACGCUAAAGCGCGAAAGCUAGGGUAGCGAACGGGAUUAGAUACCCCAGUAGUCC